AUACGUAGGGUGCGAGCGUUGUCCGGAAUUACUGGGCGUAAAGAGCUCGUAGGUGGUUUGUCGCGUCGUCUGUGAAAUUCCGGGGCUUAACUCCGGGCGUGCAGGCGAUACGGGCAUAACUUGAGUACUGUAGGGGAGACUGGAAUUCCUGGAGUAGCGGUGAAAUGCGCAGAUAUCAGGAGGAACACCGGUGGCGAAGGCGGGUCUCUGGGCAGUAACUGACGCUGAGGAGCGAAAGCAGGGGUAGCGAACAGGAUUAGAUACCCUGGUAGUCCAUGCCGUAAACGGUGGGCGCUAGGUGUAGGGGUCUUCCACGACUUCUGUGCCGUAGCUAACGCAUUAAGCGCCCCGCCUGGGGAGUACGGCCGCAAGGCUAAAACUCAAAGGAAUUGACGGGG
rnacentral:rRNA from 1 species